GUGCCAGCCGCCGCGGUAAUACGUAGGGGGCAAGCGUUGUCCGGAUUUAUUGGGCGUAAAGAGCGUGUAGGCGGUUUGGUAGGUCCGCUGUGAAAACUCGAGGCUCAACCUCGAGACGCCGGUGGAAACCAUCAGACUAGAGUCCGGAAGAGGAGAGUGGAAUUCCUGGUGUAGCGGUGAAAUGCGCAGAUAUCAGGAAGAACACCCGUGGCUAAGGCGGCUCUCUAGUACGGUACUGACGCUGAGACGCGAAAGCGUGGGGAGCGAACAGGAUUAGAAACCCUCGUAGUCC
rnacentral:rRNA from 1 species